rnacentral:lncRNA from 1 species
CGUAUUAAUCAUAGUCAAAUUUAUUAAGUUGUUUUAUCAUCAAAGCUUCCCUCAUGUAAAUUUUAAGUGUUCUUAACUGGUAACAUGAAUCAUGUUGCACAAAGCCCGGACCGCUGGAGUGUUGGUGCUAGUGCGCAAACAUUUUCAUCACGAGUUUAAAGUAAUAGAAACAUUGACACGAUUACUUCCGGUAACAUACCCCAAGGCCGUGUAGGGCCGAUUUCGUUCACAUGGUGUGGUCACCGCAUCUAUUUAAUCAAUAUGUACCUUAGGACAUCUCAGUAUAGAUCAGAGAAAGGCGUUUGACAAACAAUGUGCAGUCUCUUGGCGAUGUUGUAAGGGUAGGUCAGGAUGAUCAUUCCUAUGAGGCGCGACCCUAAUAUGAGGCGCGGCAAAAUAAGAAGGCCUUCUUAUUUUGUGAAAUACAGGUGUGUCGGGAGGGUCGCGGUUUGACAGAAUUAAACUCCCUCCGAACACCAACCUCAUUCCCCUCAUCGUUUCCUCUAUCGUUCCAGUUUGCACUUCGACUCAUCAUCGACUGGCUAUCGUAACACUAUUACCACGACAGAGCGCUUGUUCCAGGCAUUCCACGGUUACGCGCGCAUUUUCUAGGUUUUCCUGAUUCUAGGUUUUUUCUGACUUGGAUUGACUGGGGCAUCAGCCAUUGUCACGAUCGCGCCUAUUUAAGAACCUCUCCACAUGUGUGGUGGGACUGAAAGACCCCGAUUGAUGGGUGGUGAGCCGUCUUAUCGACCGCUCACCGACGGAAGUACGGCAAAACGCAUCAGAUUAAGCGAAGGCCUCAUGGCGAAUACCG